UCCGAGUCUGCUGUAGAUUGCCAGCAAUGGCCCAGAUCUUAUUGCAUGAACUGCUUCAUUUCUUGAGGAAUUGAUAAAGGAACUGACAUUGUGAAAUCAUCAGCAAUUACCACUUUUGCAUUUACCAUGGAAACAAGAUUAUUUAUGAAGAACUGAAGAUGGUUGAGCCUAGGGCAUUCCUCUAUCAUUGCCCUGGGCUCAUAAUGAUGGACUUCCAUCAACUAAAACUAUUUUUUUUUACAAGACAGCUCUUUCGUAUGGACCGUGCUGUGAAGAACCCUGCAAUCUCAGCAAAAACAUCAUUCAUGCCACAAGCUAGCAUGUUCUACAUCAACCUUACUGAUCGAGAAUGGGAUAAGUGGGAAGUAACAGGCUGGAUUUACCCUGCGUUUUUUUUGGACCAGUAAAACUUGGGGAAUUUUCCACUGGUUGCCUAAAUGUGUGAGAUAACUUACCUAGUUUUGACCUCUGAUCUUCAGUUAUAGAUGGGAUGCCUCAGUCUUUGCAGUACCCACUGUUCUCAGCCUUUAUCACGUGGAUUACUUAAAUUGGUUGAAAAUUGGCUUCUGUGAUAGAUAGUGGGGAUAAAGCGAAGCCCUUCUAACUGGACAUAGUUACAACUAUUUCAGACUUUAAUUUGCACUCACUCACAGGUUCCUGUCAUCAUUCAUAAUUGUGAGGUACAGGGUCAAGGAAUAUUAUCAAUCCAUUAUCCGUUAUAAUGGAUUAUAUUACAAUCCAUUAUCAAUACAAGGUAAAUGGUAGGACACUGAGAAGUGCAGUAAAACAGAGGGAUCUGGGAAUACAGAUACAUAAUUCCCUAAAAGUGGUGUCACAGGCAGAUAGAGUCGUAAAGAAAGCUUUUGAUACAUUGGCCUUUAUAAAUCAAAGUAUUGAGUAUUGAGUAUAAGAGUUGGAAUAUUAUGGUGAGGUUGUAUAAGACAUUGGUAAGGCUGAAUUUAGAGUAUUGUUGUGCAGUUUUGGUCACCUAAGUACAGGAAGGAUAUUAAUGAGGUUGAAAGAGUGCAGAGAAGGUUUACAAGGAUGUUGCCGGGACUUGAGAAACUGAGUUACAGAGAAGGGGUGAAUAGGUUAGGACUUUAUUCCCUGAAGCGUAGAAGAAUGAGGGGAGAUUUGAUAGAGGUGUAUGAAAUUAUGAUGGGUAUAGAUAGAGUGAAUGCAAACAGGCUUUUUCCUCUGAGGCCAGGGGAGAAAAAAAACCAGAGGGCAUGGGUUAAGGGCGAAGGGGGAGAAGUUUAAAGGGAACAUUAAGGGGGAGGGCUUCUUCACACAAAGAGCGGUGGGAGUGUGGAAUGAGCUGCCAGUUGAAGUGGUAAAUGCAGGCUCACUUUUAACAUUUAAGAAAAACUUGGGCAGGUACAUCGAUGAGAGGGGUAUGGAGGGAUAUGGUCCAGGUGCAUGUCAGUGGGACUAGGCAGAAAAAUGGUUCAGCACAGCCAUGAAAGGCCAAAGGGCCUGUUUCUGUGCUGUAAUGUUCUAUGGUUCAUUGCCAGUACUUUGUAGGAACUACUCAAUUAGUUCCAAAACUCUGAGCAUUCCUCAGCCUUGUAUUUUAUAUCUUUAAAAUGUAUAUGAUUCUUUUCUAAAUGCCAUUUCAACAAUCCCAUUUAGGUACUAUUUCAUGAAAUGCAGUCCACAUCACAGAACUUACUGAAAAGCUUAUUUUAAGACACCUCUGGUUCUUUAGUCAAUUGUCUAGAAGUUGUUGCCCUUUGGUUACCAAUCCUCCAACAACAGAAAACAGUUUACUCUAAACUUCAUGAUUUUGAAGGCUAUUUCCAACUCAUUUUAUUUCUUUUUGCUCUCUGACUCCCAGCUGCUCCAGUCCUUCAGAAUAAACUGAACCCUAUAAUUGCUGAUAUCACUCCUGCAUAUUCCUACUGCAACUUCUCAAAGCCCUUAAUGUUCUUCCUAAAUUGUGACAUCUUUUAACAUUAAAAAUAUUUGGACAUUUACAAAAUGGAGAAGAUAACAGCAUCUGUUAAUCAUAAGUUGGAACAAUUUGAUUCAUACUGGGAAAAAUGGUUUAACUACGUAACACCUCAUAGGCCUGAUUUUAUUCUCACAAAUCAAUGAAUCUGUUGUAAAAAAAGGAUCACUCCUACUUGUACAUAGUUUUCUCCUUCUGCUUGUUCUUUCUUUCCUCUCUUUUCUUUAAGUGUAUAC